GAUAAAUCGCUGAUGAGAACAAAGGAAUAAACCCAUUGUAUAUACAGAGAGCCGGGGUUGCUGGAAGCCCGGAAAUACAAGUUAUUCUGACAUCGUCUCGGAGUGUUGAAUGGAACAGUAGGAACUACUACUAAGUAUAUUUAACCGGGUGUGAACAAAGGCACUCGUUACUAAAAAUUGAAGCUAUGUAAUUAUGCAUACACGAAGUAGCUUCAUAAGGCAGUAUUUGUGAAAAUACUGUGAAUCAGGGUGGUACCGUGAAAAGCUAGACCUUUUCUCCCUUGU
rnacentral:ncRNA from 1 species